rnacentral:lncRNA from 1 species
GAGCCGUGUCUCCCGGCCGACUUGGGUGUCCCGGUUGGUGUGUGGUCGGGCCUGGGACGGGCGUGGUGCGGCGGGAACCGCCGGGUAGCGACCACGUCUCGUCAGGGGGUUCGUGCCUGCUGCUGGGCACGGGAACGGCUCCGGGGGGGUCUUACGGGCGCUGAGGGGAUUCCGCAUCAUGGAGAGGUCAAGGGGAGUUGGUGGCCGUCACCCUUCGUCAGGGCAGGGUAGCCUCAGUGCUCCCGUGCUGGGGUUCCUGGAGAGCCGGCUGGCACGGACAGACUCUUGUGAGGGCAAGUGGCUGAUCGUGCGUCGGAUGGGUCCAGCAAAGGAGAGAAAGCUUCGGUGCGCGCGCGCUCGCCAGGGAAAGGGUGACAGCGGGUGGGACCGAGAGGGAGAGAGAGAGAGGGAGAGAACAAAGGAAGAGAGAGGGUUUCCGCAGGGGCGGUGAGUCCUGGCGGAAGUCCUGAGGCAGAGGAGGUGCCAGGGGUUUGGGUUUCCCGGUCGUGUCGGGGGUGUGGCGCAGGUUGCCCCAGUGGGCCUGAAUGUGCCUCCGUGGGGCACCUUGUUGCCGUGUUGGGGGGCGGGGAGCCGGCCUUGGGGAUCCAUCUUUCGGGCCCUGGGACGUGGGAGAAGAAUGCCGGGGCCUCUCUCUGUGCCCCUGGCACGCCUCUGUGCAGGCCGGGCCUGCACCCCCCCCCAGGCAGGGUCCGUGUGGCUGCAGACACCCAGAGAGAGGGGAGGCUGGGGAGGCUGGGGAGCCGUGGCAGCCCGAUGCAGUGCGGGUCUCCAGGUGGAGGGGCCCUGGUCCCCUGGCGCCAGCGUGGCCCUUCCUCCUUGUGGAAACCCUUGUGGUGUGUGUGCUCUCUCGCCCUGACCCAGGAGAGCAGCAUGGCGGACCCCUGAUCUUGUGGCGUGCCACCGCGCGAGGCCGAGGAGCUCCCGCAGACCAGUGGGCGUGGCGUCCUUGUCGCGGCUCUGUGGAGACCUGGCGAUGGAGAGCAGCAUGGCGGACCCCUGAUCUUGUGGCGUGCCACCGCGCGAGGCCGAGGAGCUCCCGCAGCCCAGUGGGCGUGGCGUCCUUGUCGCGGCUCUGUGGAGACCUGGCGAUGGUGAGCGGCCCCUGUCCUCAGUGGUGGAGAACUCGCCCUUGGGGCGCUCGUCUGUCCGGAGCCCCGGGCCACCCCCGCUUCUCGCGGGCUUUGGCCCCGGCAGGCCAGCUCCGGGGGCGUGAGGGGGAGCGUCCCGUCCUGCCCAGUGGCUCGUCUGUCUGGGCACGCCCCCAAACGCUGCCGUGAUGGAGCGGGUGGGAUGUCCAGGUGCGGAGGCCGUGAAUUUGCCUUGCGGCGGCGGAGCCCGUGCUCGGAUCGAUGAUGACUCCCUCUAAAGCAUUCCUUGGAAAUCUGAACAAAAUGAGUGAGAACUCACUACCGUCUCCUCAUCGAAACUGAGGUCCGGCACGUGGCGGCCACCGGGGGCUCGGGGGUAGAUGGGCCCUUGGCCUUGGGGCCUCUGGGUGUCAGCAGCCACUCGGGUGAGGUCUGGGGAAGGCGGCCGCCUGCCGGGCCCAGGAAGCAUGGGGCCCGUCGCCCGGCGCUGGCCUCGGGGGAGAGGCCGCGUGCCCGAGCGUGCUGGAGAUCCCGGGCGGCCUCCCGCCGGCCUUGGGGGGUUUCGCAAGCCGUCGCGGGGGCCGAAAUUUGGGCCCGGCCGCGAGGCAAGUGUGCGGCCCUAGGGCCCCAGGGGGCGUCCUGGCCCAGGCCGGGCGCCCUUCUCAGGAUGCUGUGGGGAGACGGGAUCCCGGCAGGGUAGUGUUCUCUUUCUGCUCUGGGGACCCCUGAGGGCCACCUGCUGCAGGGGGUCUGUGGUAGCGGGGCCC